rnacentral:piRNA from 1 species
UAUGAUAAAAGGAUAUUAGAACAUCGUA